rnacentral:rRNA from 1 species
UGACCUCAUAUCUGUGAAAACAACCCGCUGAACUUAAGCAUAUCAAUAAGCGGAGGA